rnacentral:lncRNA from 1 species
UCUUCAUCAAAGGAAGCCAGGUUAGGAGCUCAAGCAUGUGGGAACCUGGAGGCAGGAGCUGAUGCAGAGGCCAUGGAGUGGGGAGCUGCUUACUGACUUGCUGCUCCUAAUGACCUGCUUAGCCUGCUUCUUAUAGAACCCAGGACCACCAUCCCACAAUGGGCUGGGCCCUCCCCUAUCAACCAUUAAUUAAGAAAAUGCCUUACAGGCUUGCCUACGGCCUGAUCUUAUGGGGAGGCAGUUCUUAAUUGAGGUUCUCUCCUCUCAGAUGACUGUAGCUUGUGCCAACUUGACAUAAAACUCUCCAGCACACACUUUGACCUCCAUAAGUCGUGGCGGCAAACACAGAAGUAUGUUUAUUGCUGCAAUGUGUGUCAAAAGACUUGCGGCCUUCUGAUGCGAUGAACUCCAUCGAGUGAGCACGGAUUUAUGGUGAUGCCAAUUUGAAUCUGACAGGAUACCAGCACAUUAACCGCUCCUGGUGAUUCUUAGAGGAAAAACAUGUGAACGACCAACCCAAGUAAUGAACAAGCCAAGCUUCUAUUUACCUGUCAAGAAAUGAGGACAACCAUGAUACAGCCACUACAGCGCAUACAUAUUUUGGGACAUUGCUCAUUUAAUUCAUAUGGAACCUUUACGGAAGGGGAAUGCAGCUGGAAGAGGCGUCUACAGGAGGAGACUGAAAGCCUGAGAGGUGAAUGGGAGCUGACCUCUGAGAACUGAGAAUGCAGGAGGCCAUGGAGGAGGGUUUUUCCUGAUGAUGGGCCGAAGACGGUCCAUAAGAAUCUGGCAGGCAUUCUGAAAAGCAAAUGUUUAGACGGACAUCAGAGCUACAAAGCGCAAAACAGCAAAGCAUUAAUGAUCCAGGAAGACUUUAAUGGCAGCUGUUUUACAGGUGUGGAAAUGGACUUAACACAACUGGAACCUGCAAGAGUCAAUUCCCGGGCACACCUUCUCCUGGAUACUGGAGGACUGGCAAGGAUCUGGAGAUGUUUUUGGUCUCCAAAGGUUGUCUUCGAGAAUGGUGGUGGGGGAGGAGGGUAUGCCCCAGUGUGGGUAAUCCUGCACAGCCACAGGCUGCCAGUGGAGCCUAGAUACCCAGCUUUAACACAAUCCCACACAAUGUUGAUGGUGACGAGGUUUGGGAUCCAUUAAUUGAAUCUACAUUCAUCAGGUUGUACAUUAGUGACUAGAAGCCUAGAGAUGGGAAACAGUUGGUCACACCCAGAUGCCUAGCAUCAUGGGGGUGGGAAAGGAAAAGAUAAUGCCGGAGAUUGAACUCUGUGAAGAAGCAGUUAUGGUGAAAUGAGAGGGGAGGCAAGAAAGGGAUCUUUUUGUUUAUGCCAGUUCGCUUUUGAAACCUGGCCUGACACUGUUGAGGUUUGUUUUUUUGCUAUGUAUUAUAAUGCUAAAUACCAGCCCUGGUCACUCCCAGGGAUGGGGAGGUUCUCACAUGGACUUAAGUGAUGCUAGGUAAUCUUGCCCCCACCCCCCCAAGUUAUCCCUGAAUGGUGAAUAAAAAUGCCUUUCGCCUGUAGCUGGGCAGAAGAGAGAUAGGUGGAGUUUUGGCUCCUUGGCUGGGGGUCUGAGGCAGGGGCCAUGAGGAGACAGAGAAGGUAGAGAGAGAAGAUGAUACCAUGGGGUAGGUGAGUCAUGAAAACAUGGCCAUGAAGGCUGCCCAAUUGGAGUGAUAGCGGGGUUAUUGAUGAGGAAGUGGAUUUCAAUAUCUGCUGAGUUCUAGUGCUUUAAAGGCUUAUCAUAUAUAAAAAGGUCUUCUUUCUUUCAUCUGGGGUGGAAAACCCCAAUGGAGAUUAAGUAUUUUCUGCACCAUGACAUUCCAGUACUUAUAUUAGGGUGCAGCUACUCAAAUGGGUCCCUCUGAGUAGGACCUUACUGUUGAUGCUCUCCAAGACCCUAAAUUCUGCAUCCCGAAGGUCUGUUCCGAUAUCCAUGGUUUCUGCCUUUGUCUGCGUCCGUGCUCUCUCCUGCUAGAGGGAACCAGCCGCCCUUCAUUUCUCUGUCUCUAAAGAGGGACGUCAUGGCUGCCCAGAUUCCCUUCCUUGUGCAUAAGCCGUUUUUGAGCGAGAGCCAGCCCUUUGGAGAUGGGCUUUGAUAAGGGUCCAUCUCUUCCACCUCACCUGAUUGUAGAAGGCUAUGGGGACCGCAACGCUGAACUUCAUGGGGACGACAGCAAGCCCCCUCUUCUUCCAAUAGUUGUUUCCGUUAAAUUCCUCUGCAGCCUUCUUCCUAGCAAAGAAUGACGACUUCUCCAGACACUCCUUCCAGCAUCUCCGCAAGGGCUCUGGAUUAAACGUCUGCUUAUAGGCUGUCUUGCUAGUUUUCUUAUACAUGUUUAUUUCUCUAACCUGAAAGGUGAGAACAUGUGUGCAUCACAUGUCUGAUAUGGAAAAAGUUUGUCUAAAAAUACUUUUAGUAUACUAAAGUAUAUAUAUAUAUAUGUAUAUAUAUAUAUAUAUAUAUGUUAAAAUGACUAUAUAUAUGUAUAUAUAUGUUUAAAAUGACAACAGAAACCAAUAGAAACUACUAACGAGUACUUCAUAUGCCCCAGGCUUUAGAUAAAGUAUUUCAGUGAGCUUCACAAUAACCCUAAGAAACAGUAGGACAAUUACUCAUCCUGUUAUCAAUUUGUUGGCAAGAGAAGAUUUUCCUGAUUCAAAUUAUUUUGUUUUGUUUUUGCUUUUUUUUCGAGACAGGGUUUCUCUGUAUAGUUCUGGCUGUCCUGGAACUCACUUUGUAGUCCAGGCUGGCCUUGAUCUCAGAAAUCCUCCUGCCUCUGCCUCCCGAGUGCUGGGAUUAAAGGUGUUUGCCACCACACCCAGCUCCUGAUUCAAAUUCUUAAUUACUCCCAAUUUCCCUCACUUUACCCCUUGAGAGUAUUGCACAUGCCAAGCAAACCCUUGUCUAUCAAGUGACAAGAUGUUUGCACAAAAGGCUGUGAUCAUCCCACCCAUUUCUGCCCUGGUAUAGUUUCACACUGACUCUGGAUUGACCUUGUGACCUGCUUUUUAUGAUGGGACUGUACAUAGUAACACAGACAGAGACUUGACAAAUGUUUGUGGAUUACAGCAUGCCACCAACCUGCUGCUCUCCGGAAUUCUCUGAUACCCAUGAGAGUGAAUCUGGGCUAGCUUACUGAAAGAUGAACGACUAUACAACAGACUUUACAGCUGAGGCAUAGUCAGAUAAGCCAGCCCAAUACUCAUCAGAAAUGUCAAUAAAGAGAAAUGUUAAUAAAGCCGUCUUGAACCAUAGAGCUUCCAAUGAGCUGGCCUAAGACCAGGAGAAGCUCCCAAGAAACCCACAGAAUCCUAAGAAAUAGUAUCACGGGUAGAAGCUAUCAGGUUUAUUGGUUCCCAUACUACAAUAGAAAAUAUUUACUGAUAAUGCAUUUUAUUUUCUUGAAACUGUAUAUAUAGAGAGAGAUUGCAGGAGCUCGAGACACACACCAACCAUGGCCAGUGCUUUCCUAGCUGGUUCUAACUGCUCACCUCUUCAGGGAGUAAGUUACAUUUAGAUGCUACCGCAGCGAUGUAUGCUUCGACGACCACCGUAGCCUGAGGGAAGCCAAAUCCUCGGAAAGCCGUGUUAGAUGGUAAGUUUGUUUUGCAAGCCCUGCCCCGGCACCGGAAAUUCGGAAUAUGAUAUGUAUUUUCAGAUUUCAGCACGACAAAUUCUAUCACCUGAAUUAAAACAAAAAUAACU